AGAGUAAUCGGAGCCAGGGAUGAAGGGUAACGGAGGUUUCUCUUGGUAUUUGCCAAGAACUUGGAGAUAAUUUGCGAAAUUCAAGCUGGUGGCUUUGAUUCGAACUCUAACGGAGGUUGGCGAUUCCAAAUUAGGUAUAGGGUGGGAUGUUGAGAGAUCGAGUGACGACUUCUCUGAGGCAUUUGGUGGCAGAGUUGGGUCGCCCAGUUUUCUUACAAGUAGAGCUUCCAUUUAUUUCCAGUAAUCGUGUCGUAUGCACUCCAGAUACCCUUUUUGUACUUGAGGUGUGUUCGCUCUGCUAACUAACCAAAAUCGGCGAGUACACACACAGUUAUAUGUGAAACCCUAACUCUGCAAUACAAACGCUUUUGCAGCAAUAAAUCGAAAGAAGAAGGAAAGGGAAAUGAGAUGAGGGGUAACUAAAUACGGAGAAGAUGAAAAUGCAAAUGAAAAUGUUUCUAGUCAAUGCCUAAAAAAAUGUUUAUCAGAAAUCUCAUAUUUGAGUCUCCUUAGUAACCAGACAGCAUGUGGAAAACAAAAAGAAACAAAGAAAGAUAACAGAUCAAAUCUCUAGAAAUCGCUAGAUUAAGCCAUUUCAACAGUUCAACUUCAACAAGCACGUCCCAGUGGAUAACUUGUAUUAAAAUGUGACAACCAAACAUA
rnacentral:misc_RNA from 1 species